rnacentral:misc_RNA from 1 species
UCUCCGUAGGUGAACCUGCGGAGGGAUCAUUACAGAGUUCUCGCCCUCGCGGGUAGAUCUCCCACCCACUGUUAUCGUUACUGUGUUGCUUUGGCGGGCCGCCGGGCCCCGCUCGGCCGCCGGCUCCGGCUGGCGCGCGCCCGCCAGAGGCCCAGCAAACUCUGAAUGUUAGUGUCGUCUGAGUACUAUAUAAUAGUUAAAACUCUCAACAACGGAUCUCUUGGUUCUG